GAUGAACGCUAGCGGCAGGCCUAAUACAUGCAAGUCGAACGGUGUAGCAAUACACAGUGGCGCACGGGUGCGUAACACGUAUGCAACCUACCUUACAUUGGGGGAUAGCCUUUCGAAAGGGAGAUUAAUACCGCAUAAGACAGUAACUAGGCAUCUAGUAGCUGUUAAAGAUUUAUCGAUGUAAGCUGGGCAUGCGUCCAAUUAGUUAGUUGGCGAGGUAAUGUCUCACCAAGACGAUGAUUGGUAGGGGAACUGAGAGGUCAAGCCCCCACACUGGCACUGGGAUACGGGCCAGACUCCUACGGGAGGCAGCAGUAGGGAAUAUUGGGCAAUGGGCGCAAGCCUGACCCAGCCAUGCCGCGUGCAGGAAGAAGGCGUUAUGCGUUGUAAACUGCUUUUAUACAGGAAGAAACGACCCUUGCGAGGGGCAUUGACGGUACUGUAUGAAUAAGCACCGGCUAACUCCGUGCCAGCCGCCGCCGUAACAC
rnacentral:rRNA from 1 species